UACGGGGGGGGCAAGCGUUGUUCGGAAUUACUGGGCGUAAAGGGCUCGUAGGCGGCCAACUAAGUCGGACGUGAAAUCCCUCGGCUCAACCGGGGAACUGCGUCCGAUACUGGAUGGCUUGAGUUCGGGAGAGGGAUGCGGAAUUCCAGGUGUAGCGGUGAAAUGCGUAGAUAUCUGGAGGAACACCUGUGGCGAAAGCGGCUUACUAGACGACAACUGACGCUGAGGCGCGAAAGCUAGGGGAGCAAACAGG
rnacentral:rRNA from 1 species